UUUAGCAAAAAUCACACAGGUACGUGAGCACAUCGACAUCAUCUCUUUCUCCCUUCCCGUGAAGCUGAACACCACCGGAUCACCAUCUCCUCCGGCGAUCCUCUGCAACAACUCCAGUGCCUUCCUCCAUAAUUUCCGACGAAACGUCUUUACCGAAGACUUUGAGACAUCAACUUCGUCUCCUCCAAUGGAUCAAACGCAGCUCCUUUGUCUUCUCCGACGGAACGUCUUCUGUGAAGUCGACUACCAGCGUACGUUCUCUGACGACUCCCUCCGGUGAAAGCUACCACACAUUAUUCCUUCAAGAAGACAACCACAACUCUUCCUUAUCCACCGACGCGUGUGAACCUUCCUAGUCAUCAUCGUCGGACUGUCACCUUUUCCGGUACCAUCAUCACUUUUCAUCUCAGGUGAUGAGCUCUCCACCUUGUCGUCACUAGCAAACUUUAUCGCUUCUCCCAUGUGAUCUUGUUCAAUCAAUUCCGACGACUCUUGGAACACAAUGGAAUAGCAAACCAACCCAGAAAAAUAUGAACUUUUGUGGAAACAUCAACAACAGCCAUAUGAAGACACAGGAAGAAACAGAUCACCAUUUGCAUUUACAGUUUGGAAGUUACACCCACUUUCCCAGAACAGAUCCGGAAUGAUGCAACCUGCAAGCAGUCCAACUUUGAGAGCAAUUUCCCAGUAAACCACAAGGAAUAAGAUGACGAUCUUUAUAUCAUUGGAAAGAUCCCGCUCUCAAGUUUUCAGAAAACCUUUUGUAGCUUCAAUCUGAGGAUUAAGCAAUGAAUCAAAUUCCAACACUCCCUCUUGAUUCAUUAGCUGAAUUCCCAAAGUCUAAACUAGCAAAUUUGAUCCCACAUUCUACUUCUUCUCGAUCUGUUCGUGAAUCUCUUUCACGUCAUUGGCAGAACUCGUUGGUGCUUAGAGCAAAUCACUCUUGUCUCCUUCAGAGAUGAUGCUUCACAUUAAUCUCUUCCGGUGAGUCAAGCCCUCACCAUCUCGGUUGUUCUUCAUGGAUACUCUAUGCUCUCCACAGUACAUACGCAGGUAAUUCACUUCUUCCUCUUGUUGAUUGUGUGUCUCAAAGGCAAACAUCCGAGACAUAACACACAUACAACGAAUCAAACAAACCAACAGCUGACUUCACCCCAAAGUCACAUAUGAAAGUAUGAAC